rnacentral:tmRNA from 1 species
GUUCGGGUUCGCCCGGACUAUGGACAUAAACGCGCAGGUAAUAAGCGGAUCGGACCCGGGGGCGGUACCCGGCGGCUCCACCA